UUAAGGGGUGUCCGCAAGUGCGGGCUGAGAACAGACCCUCUGACCUGAUCCGGAUCAUACCGGCGUAGGGAAACCG
rnacentral:ncRNA from 1 species